UCCGUUAUGGUGUGGUGGCUAACAUUAUCGCCUCUCAUCUCCCAGUAUGUCGUAGAUAAAAGCGCGAUAGCCCAGGGUUCGAUUCCCUGUAACGGAA